rnacentral:misc_RNA from 1 species
AACCUAGCACACCUGCGGUGUGUACCUGCGGAAGGAUCAUUACUGAGUCACGUGCUCAAACAACCCUUCUGUGGACCUGAAAUAAAACCGUUGCCUCGGCGGGCGGUCCCCCCCAAACCAACCCCACGUGGUGGGUUAGGGGAGACCAGACAGUCCGGUACGCUUAAGGCGUCCGGCGCCAGCCGCUGGCCCCAAACAAUUAAACUCUAGUAAUCUUUACCUUCUGAGUUUCAAUAUUUA